CGGGGCGCGGAGCAGACUCCAGCAUGCUGAUCUCAGGGUCCCCGGGCCAGAAGGAGAUCUGACUGACUCCAGCUGGAAGGGAGGGAAAGCCUUAGAGGGUCAGACAGGUCGCACACGGUCGUCUGGAGAAGUACAGCUGACUGUCAGCCAGACGGACCCCGUGCUGGAGGACGGCCGCUUGUCCCGCGUGAAGCUCAGGACCGGAGCAGUGGAGGCCCACCACUUUACCUUCUCGGACCACCACCAGACCCAUCCCACGGAUCUGGAAGGGAGCCGACGCCGCCAUUCACUCAGCAGUUAUUCCACUUUUUAGAGACGCUUGUCCCCACACUGACCUGGCGGCUGUCCUCUUCUUCCUCCUCCUCUUCCUCACGAGGAAACAUCUCCAUCCACAGACUCAGCAAAGUGAAGAGGUUAACUUUGGACAACCUGGGGCCAUGACCUGAGCAAGGAUUGAAACCAAACACUCAACUCAAAUGUUCUUCUUUACCUAUAAAAUAGUUUUGGCCUAAAAUGUUCUGAAAAAAAUCAUUUCAUCAGCUCCAGGAUGAAGAAAAAGCUUCAAAAUAAAAGUCCUUCAUUGAAGCAGAUGUCCUUAGGGGAGCAGAUGUUUCAGCUUUCGGUUGUUACAAACUCAUUCAGACAUUCUGAAGCUGAAGUUCAUAAGAAAUGGGUCUGGGUCACAGAUUCAGCUGGUCCUGAGAAGAACUCAGUUUAGGAUUUCAUCAGCAGUGUUGUCUAAACCACAGGAUAAGAGACUUGAUCCAGACGCAAA